GCGGAACACGUGUGCAACCUGCCUUUAUCUGAGGGAUAGCCUUUCGAAAGGAAGAUUAAUACCUCAUAAUAUACUGAUUGGCAUCAAUUAGUAUUGAAAGCUCCGGCGGAUAGAGAUGGGCACGCGCAAGAUUAGAUAGUUGGUGAGGUAACGGCUCACCAAGUCAAUGAUCUUUAGGGGGCCUGAGAGGGUGAUCCCCCACACUGGUACUGAGACACGGACCAUACUCCUACGGGAGGCAGCAGUGAGGAAUAUUGGACAAUGGGUGCAAGCCUGAUCCAGCCAUCCCGCGUGAAGGACGACGGCCCUAUGGGUUGUAAACUUCUUUUGUACAGGGAUAAACCUACUCUCGUGAGGGUUGCUGAAGGUCUUGUCGAAUAACCACCGGUUAACUUCGUGCCAACACCCGCGGUAAUACUCAGGGGGCGAGCGUUUUCCGGAUUUAUUGGGUUUAAAGGGUCCGCAGCGGGCUAGUAAGUCAGUGGUGAAAGCCUACAGCUUAACUGUAGAACUGCCGUUGAUACUGCUAGUCUUGAGUAUAGUUGAGGUAGCUGGAAUGAGUAGUGUAGCGGUGAAAUGCAUAGAUAUUACUCAGAACACCGAUUGCGAAGGCAGGUUACCAAGUUAUAACUGACGCUGAGGGACGAAAGCGUGGGGAGCGAACAGGAUUAGAUACCCUGGUAGUCCACGCCGUAAACGAUGCUAACUCGUUUUUGGGCUUUAGGGUUCAGAGACUAAGCGAAAGUGAUAAGUUAGCCCCCCGGGGAGUACGACCGCGGGGUUGAAACUCAAAGGAAUUGACGGGGGCCCGCACAACCGGUGGAUCAUGUGGUUUAAUUCGAUGAUACGCGAGGAACCUUACCAAGGCUUAAAUGGGAAUUCAUAGCUGUAUAAAUACGGUUUUCUUCGGACAAUUUUCAAGGUGCUGCAUGGUUGUCGUCAGCUCGCCCCGUGAGGUGUUAGGUUAAGUCCUGCAACGAGCGCAACCCCUGUCACUAGUUGCCAUCAUUAAGUUGGGGACUCUAGUGAGACUGCCUACGCAAGUAGCGAGGAAGGUGGGGAUGACGUCAAAUCAUCACGGCCCUUACGCCUUGGGCCACACACGUGAUACAAUGGCCGGUACAGAGGGCAGCUACACUGCGAAGUGAUGCAAAUCUCGAAAGCCGGUCUCAGUUCGGAUUGGAGUCUGCAACUCGACUCUAUGAAGCUGGAAUCGCUAGUAAUCGCGCAUCAGCCAUGGCGCGGUGAAUAC
rnacentral:rRNA from 1 species